UCCGUAGGUGAACCUGCGGAAGGAUCAUUAAUGAAUAACUAUGGUGUAGGUUGUAGCUGGUUCCUCGGAACAUUGUGCACACCCGCCAUUUUUAUCUUUCCACCUGUGCACCGACUGUAGAUCUGGAUAACUCUCGCCCUAGAGGCGGAUGCGAGGUUUGGCUUCGGCCUCUCCUUGAAUUUCCAGGUCUAUGUCUUUUUACACACCCCACUAGUAUGAUAUUGAAUGUAGUCAAUGGGCUUUGUAGCCUAUAAAACACUAUACAACUUUCAGCAACGGAUCUCUUGGCUCUCGCAUCGAUGAAGAACGCAGCGAAAUGCGAUAAGUAAUGUGAAUUGCAGAAUUCAGUGAAUCAUCGAAUCUUUGAACGCACCUUGCGCUCUUUGGUAUUCCGAAGAGCAUGCCUGUUUGAGUGUCAUUAAAUUCUCAAUCUUGUCAGUUUUCUGAGGAGGCUUGGAUGUGGGGGUUUUGUGCAGGCUGCCUCAGCGCGGUCUGCUCCUCUGAAAUGCAUUAGCGAGUUCAUACUGAGGCUUCCGUCUAUUGGGGGUGGUGGAUAAUUAUCCUACGGCCCGGUGGGGAUCGGUGGCUUAGGACUUGCUUCUAACCGGUCCGGCAAGGGGACAACUCUUU
rnacentral:rRNA from 1 species